GCUGGGUGCAGUGGUUUGUGCCUGUAGUCCCAGCUACUCAGAAGCCUGAGGUGGGAGGAUCACUUGAGCCCAGGAGUCCUGUGGUGUAGUGCAUUAUGCCGAUCAGGUAUCUGCAGUAAGUUGGGCAUCAAUAUCGUGACCUCCUGGGAGCAGGGGACUAGUCACCAGGUUGCCUAAAAAACACAAAAAUUAGCCAUGCAUGGUGGCGUGUGCCUGUAAUCCUAGCUAUUUGGGAGGCUAAGGCCUGGGAGGCGGAGGCUGCAGUAAACCGAGAUCAUACCAUUGAACUCCAGCUUGGGCAACAAGAGUGAAACUCCAUCUCC
rnacentral:SRP_RNA from 1 species